UGGCGGCAGGCCUAACACAUGCAAGUCGAGCGGGGUUUUCGGACCUAGCGGCGGACGGGUGAGUAAUGCGUAGGAAGCUGCCCGAUAGAGGGGGAUACCAGUUGGAAACGACUGUUAAUACCGCAUAAUGUCUACGGACCAAAGUGUGGGACCUUCGGGCCACAUGCUAUCGGAUGCGCCUACGUGGGAUUAGCUAGUUGGUGAGGUAAUGGCUCACCAAGGCGACGAUCUCUAGCUGGUUUGAGAGGAUGAUCAGCCACACUGGAACUGAGACACGGUCCAGACUCCUACGGGAGGCAGCAGUGGGGAAUAUUGGACAAUGGGCGCAAGCCUGAUCCAGCCAUGCCGCGUGUGUGAAGAAGGCCUUCGGGUUGUAAAGCACUUUCAGCGAGGAGGAAGGGAUGUAUGUUAAUAGCAUGCAUUUUUGACGUUACUCGCAGAAGAAGCACCGGCUAACUCUGUGCCAGCAGCCGCGGUAAUACAGAGGGUGCAAGCGUUAAUCGGAAUUACUGGGCGUAAAGCGCACGUAGGCGGUUUUUUAAGUCAGAUGUGAAAGCCCCGGGCUCAACCUGGGAAUUGCAUUUGAAACUGGGGAACUAGAGUGUGUGAGAGGGGGGUAGAAUUCCAAGUGUAGCGGUGAAAUGCGUAGAGAUUUGGAGGAAUACCAGUGGCGAAGGCGGCCCCCUGGCACAACACUGACGCUCAGGUGCGAAAGCGUGGGGAGCAAACAGGAUUAGAUACCCUGGUAGUCCACGCCGUAAACGAUGUCUACUAGCUGUUCGUGUCCUUGUGAUGUGAGUAGCGCAGCUAACGCACUAAGUAGACCGCCUGGGGAGUACGGUCGCAAGAUUAAAACUCAAAUGAAUUGACGGGGGCCCGCACAAGCGGUGGAGCAUGUGGUUUAAUUCGACGCAACGCGAAGAACCUUACCUACUCU
rnacentral:rRNA from 1 species